rnacentral:rRNA from 1 species
CUAAGCACACUGUUGGUUAUGUGUGCCCAAGCAUUGAGGCAGUCAAAGUAGGCAAAUCCGCUUUGAUAAUGCUGGGAUGUGAUGGGGAGCGAAAUUUAGUAGCGAAGUAGCUGAUUUCACACUGUCAAGAAAAGUCUCUAUCGAGGUUAAAGGUACCCGUACCGCAAACCGACACAGGUGGGUGAGGAGAGUAUCCUAAGGCCAGCGAGAGAACUGUUGUUAAGGAACUCGGCAAAAUGACCCCGUAACUUAGGGAUAAGGGGUGCCACCAUCAGGUGGCCGCAGAGAAUAGGCCCAAGCGACUGUUUACCAAAAACAUAGGUUUCUGCUAAGUCGCAAGACGAUGUAUAGGAGCUGACGCCUGCCCGGUGCUGGAAGGUUAAGGGGAUCUGUUAGAGCAAUCGAAGCAGUGAACUUAAGCCCCAGUAAACGGCGGCCGUAACUAUAACGGUCCUAAGGUAGCGAAAUUCCUUGUCGGGUAAGUUCCGACCCGCACGAAAGGCGUAACGAUUUGGGCACUGUCUCAACAACAGACUCGGUGAAAUUGUAAUUCCGGUGAAGAUGCCGGAUACCUGCGACAGGACGGAAAGACCCCAUGGAGCUUUACUGUAGCUUGACAUUGGGUCUUGGUACUACAUGUACAGGAUAGGUGGGAGGCUUUGAAACCAGGACGCCAGUUUUGGCGGAGCCAUCCUUGGGAUACCACCCUUGUAGUACUGGGACUCUAACCAUAGGCCAUGAAUCUGGUCUUGGGACACUGUCAGGUGGGCAGUUUGACUGGGGCGGUCGCCUCCCAAAAGGUAACGGAGGCGCUCAAAGGUUCUCUCAGUACGGUCGGAAAUCGUACGUAGAGUGUAAAGGCAAAAGAGAGCUUGAUUGCAAGACAUACAGGUCGAGCAAGGAUGAAAAUCGGACUUAGUGAUCCGGUGGUUCUGCGUGGAAGGGCCAUCGCUCAACGGAUAAAAGCUACCCUGGGGAUAACAGGCUUAUCUCCCCCAAGAGUCCACAUCGACGGGGAGGUUUGGCACCUCGAUGUCGGCUCAUCACAUCCUGGGGCUGUAGUAGGUCCCAAGGGUUGGGCUGUUCGCCCAUUAAAGUGGUACGCGAGCUGGGUUCAGAACGUCGUGAGACAGUUCGGUCCCUAUCCGUCGCAGGCGUAGGAAAUUUGAGAAGACCUGUCCUUAG